rnacentral:sRNA from 1 species
GCGUAUAGGAUAGGUGAUAGGACACUA